rnacentral:rRNA from 1 species
UACAGAGGUCUCAAGCGUUGUUCGGAUUCAUUGGGCGUAAAGCGCACGUAGGCGGCUUUCUAAGUCAGGGGUGAAAUCCUGGAGCUCAACUCCAGAACUGCCUUUGAUACUGGAGAGCUAGAGUCCGGAAGAGGUGAGUGGAACUGCGAGUGUAGAGGUGAAAUUCGUAGAUAUUCGCAAGAACACCAGUGGCGAAGGCGGCUCACUGGUCCGGUACUGACGCUGAGGUGCGAAAGCGUGGGGAGCAAACAGG